AAGUCGUAACAAGGUUUCCGUAGGUGAACCUGCGGAAGGAUCAUUAAGAAUAAUUACACAACACUUUUAGGCAUAAACACUAAAUCUUACCUUUCAAUAAGUUUAAAAUAAAAAAAACUUUCAACAACGGAUCUCUUGGUUCUC
rnacentral:misc_RNA from 1 species